GACUUGGAAUCUGCUUUCUAUAGCGGGUUCUGGUGUUGUGCAUCUGAACAAAGAGUUUCAAUACUGUUAUGUAUGAAUGAAUGUAUUACUAUGGCGACCUUUAUUUACCAUAAAGGCGUUUGCUCUGCUUUGCUUAACGUUACGGAAAUGAUUUGCAGGAAUUUCUUCCUAGUUGCAUGUUGGUAUCAUUGCAAACAAUUACUUAUUCCAGUCUAGACUGCUGCGACAAGCUUGGUGCUAAACGUCAGUGUUCAAAUUGACAGAUUGACAAUAUGCGGUGUUGAGGUGUUUCUAUAAUCGCUAUUUAAUUGAUGAUUCCCUGACUCACGAUGUCUGCUUCAUCCACAAUCUAGAAACACGAAGAUAUUUUAAAGAUGAUUAUGACAAGAGGCGCAUGGAGUAACAACCCGCAUGGAAGCCCUACAGAGCGCCCCCUAUAGUGCAAACCUUCCACCGGACCAACGUCCAGCCAUGAAUAUACCCAAUGUCAACGAUGGAAGGGGUCUGGACAUCUGGCCCACCCCUGCCAAUUCCACUUACGGCAGAGUGGGGUAAGUUGUGUUACUUUACAUC